rnacentral:rRNA from 1 species
GUGGGGGAUAUUGCACAAUGGGCGAAAGCCUGAUGCAGCAACGCCGCGUGAGGGAAGACGGUUUUCGGAUUGUAAACCUCUGUCUUUGGUGACGAAACAAAUGACGGUAGCCAAGGAGGAAGCCACGGCUAACUACGUGCCAGCAGCCGCGGUAAUACGUAGGUGGCGAGCGUUGUCCGGAAUUACUGGGUGUAAAGGGAGCGCAGGCGGGGAGACAAGUCAGCUGUGAAAACUAACGGCUUAACCGAUAGAGUGCAGUUGAAACUGUGUUUCUGGAGUGGGGCAGAGGCAGGCGGAAUUCCUAGUGUAGCGGUGAAAUGCGUAGAUAUUCGGAGGAACACCAGUGGCGAGGGCGGCCUGCUGGGCUUUAACUGACGCUGAGGCUCGAAAGUGUGGGGAGCAAACAGGAUUAGAAACCCUUGUAGUCC